GCACUCCUUGCAUAAGCACAAGCCCCGCUGACGUCAAUGGGAGUUUUGCCGGGGCGAGGGCUGCUCGCCUUGGCCCGCUGCUGUAAACACGUUGGGACUUUCUCUUUUAAUGGAUGGUAUUUAGAUUCUAUGUGGGGCUUGUUUAACAUGCGCGUUUUCCAGAGUCCUCAAACAUCGCGGGGAACGAAAGACAAAUUGUCUUUUUGUCAGAGCAGCGUGGAGGGCAGGAGAGAAGCACUGAGCUAUCACAGCUAGUUUUUUUUUACCUUCUACUCCCUGCUCCCUGCUUCCCCCCUCUUACUGGGAGAUCAAUAACAGCAAAAGACAGAAGGUGUCAUGGGACAGGAUUUCCAACAAGUAGAAGUGGAAUUAAUAAGAAUAGCAUACUUCAGAUAAAUUGUAUUUAUUUUCCGUGUAAGUUUCAGAGCUUAAAUACAGUUGUCUGUUCCUAAAUUUGGGGAGAAAGAGGGUGAGCACCCUGUUUAUCUCCUCUUCAUCACUGGGCUUCUUACUGCCAACCACCCCAAUGAUGCAGGUAGGGUAUAUAAGCCUUGGUGUGUGCAUGUCUAUGUAUGCUAUAAAACAAAUCCAAAACCACACAUUGCUUUUGAUCUGAGCCAUCUUUCCAUCAAUAUCCUAUUUCUUGCCACAGAUAAAUGCUGCAGUGCCAGGUAGCAUAGGCUCUGCUCCACCCAAUAAUUUUCUAUAUCCUCCCCAGUUAUUGCCACCCCCUCCCCUGCAGGUAUUAACAUUUUGCAAUUAACUCUCUCUGGCAUAUUUAGAAAUGUGAAGUUUGGGGUAUUUGGUUCCUGAGUUCUGGUUGUUCCCCUCUUUGUGUCCUCCAACCAGGAUGGAGAAAUGAGUCUUCUUCUGCACACACAGUCCUUGAGCAUCAUCAGACCAGCAGCACAGCAGCUACUGGGCCUGCAGUUUCAUACCUGUAAAGUAACCUGCCUGUCUCCGAGAGAGGAUCAGUUGGGGUUGUUUUCCGAAGAAGCCUGUAGGUAGAGGCAUCCAUACAUUCACAUAGGAGGAUUCAUAGAGGCAGGGACAAGAAGAUAAAGGUAUUAUUUUGACAUGAUGAGCCCUGCUUGGAAAAUGCCUUCGACUCAUCUGAAGUUGUUGCCACUUUUGCUGCCUUUGCCACGGAGAACCCAAGUAAUUCUCAAGUCCUUUUGAAAUAUUUUCUCAUUUGCACUGAAUUUCUGAGGGCAAACCAACUGAUAGACAUGGACCUAAGAAAUAUUUAUCAUCAUUGAGUAAGGUUUUCUUUUGACUAAAUCUGAGGCAAUUAGUACCUGAAUAAACACAGACUAAGUAAUCUACCUCCUCAAAAGGUAAUUAGACUUGAAAAGGGCUGUUUGGCUCUACCCAAGGAAAGCACAGCUUGAUUAAAAUGCUUUGGAGAUUCGCUUUCAUUUUUGUUCCCUUUUGCCCUGGAAAACAUUUUAUAAAAUCCAUAAGACUUUUAAUUUCUCCCCGUGCCAAACCCAAGGCCACUGCUGGUUGUUGCUGCCCUCUUCCCCCACCUUCCCUAAAUCUUCAACCCCGCUUCUCAUUUUUCUUUGCCUCUAAUCUAAUCUCUAAUUCCUUGGCUUGGCCAAAUAGUUAAAAAUGUUAAGUGCUGCUCACAAUUCCUGCUGCCUCCCCCUCGUAUCUGUCUCUGUUUAUGGAACAGGCCCUGGUUUCCUCCUGCUCUUGUUCAGCUGUAGGUCUGCAGGUCAGGAGACUGUAAAUACACACAGUGCUGCCCCAACCCAUAAAUCUGAGCAAAGGGCAGCCUUAUAUAUUCAGAUAAGGGAUGCAAUGGGAAAGGGGGAAAAGAAAAAAAAUAAAAGAAGAGAACCAGCAGAGUCUGUGGUGAAGGAGAUGCUUUUGCUAGAUCCCAACCCCAAGGUGCACACCCUGCUACCUCGCGGGAUGUUCCAGCCAGAGAUGAAUCAGAAAUGUUCUCCCUUCUUCCCACCCCUUCUUGUUUAUAUAUAAAUCAUUACAAAAUGCAUUUUAUUACCUUUGGGGCAAAGAAAUUAAACAAGAUAUUUUGAUGGCUUUCUCUCCUCCAGACCUUUGUUGGUCUAUUUUCUCCCCCCUCCCCGCCCCGUUUUAUUUCCUGCACCUCCGAAGCUUUCAAGGGAACAGUCCCCCUGUUAUUGCUUCUCAGUUCCAAGGUCUUAGAAUAAAUAACAUUGUUAUUACUCACUUCACCAAUUUCCAAGAAGAAAUAUUGCUGCAGCAAAUGCGAGCAGCACUAAUAUUUGCAAAGUGAUAAAUGGAUUGUUACAUACCUUCCCGUCUGUGUGGCCUCCAGCCAUCCUCCGGCCGGCUACAUCACUCCUCAGGGUGGGAGGGAGGCUGCCUUUGAACUUAGCGGGGUCCAGACACUUAGUGCCUUGCACCAGAGCCUGCCCCCAGCCCCCUCCCUUGCUCUCUGGAGAGAUAUUUUUUAAUGGACCACGCCAGAGACGGUACCGGGACUGGGGGAGAGCAGAAGUCACGUACUGGGACCAAGCAGCCAGGUGAAGGUGCUUUUGGCACACUGCUUUGGUGGGUUUUGUUAGUGUUGGGUGCUGCAGGGAGAGGGGUGUGAGGUUUGGGACAUCCCCACAGCACAACACCGCCCCACUGCCUUCCCCAGCUGGCACGGCUGCCCUGGUCCAGGGUACUCCAUCCCUGGUGUCACAAGAGCCAUGUGUCCUUCUCUGGCUGCCAUGGAUGUGAAAACUGGACAGAAAAAGUCUUGCAGGGGAGAAAAAAUUGUUUUGCAGAUUCCCCCUACUCUGCCCCCAAAACAUGCCCCCGUGACUAAAUGGGAAU